CCUACGGGAGGCAGCAGUGAGGAAUAUUGGUCAAUGGACGAGAGUCUGAACCAGCCAAGUAGCGUGAAGGAUGACUGCCCUAUGGGUUGUAAACUUCUUUUAUAUGGGAAUAAAACGUUCCACGUGUGGGAUUUUGUAUGUACCAUAUGAAUAAGGAUCGGCUAACUCCGUGCCAGCAGCCGCGGUAAUACGGAGGCUCCGAGCGUUAUCCGGAUUUAUUGGGUUUAAAGGGAGCGUAGGUGGAUUGUUAAGUCAGUUGUGAAAGUUUGCGGCUCAACCGUAAAAUUGCAGUUGAAACUGGCAGUCUUGAGUACAGUAGAGAUGGGCGGAAUUCGUGGUGUAGCGGUGAAAUGCUUAGAUAUCACGAAGAACUCCGAUUGCGAAGGCAGUUCACUGGACUGCAACUGACACUGAGGCUCGAAAGUGUGGGUAUCAAACAGGAUUAGAUACCCGGGUAGUC
rnacentral:rRNA from 1 species